AGUCAUAUGCUUGUCUCAAAGAUUAAGCCAUGCAUGUCUCAGUACAAGCCAAAUUAAGGUGAAACCGCGAAAGGCUCAUUAAAUCAGUUAUGGUUCCUUAGAUCGUACCCACAUUUACUUGGAUAACUGUGGUAAUUCUAGAGCUAAUACAUGCCAACAGAACUCCGACCGGAGACGGAAGGAGUGCCUUUAUUAGAUCAAAACCAAUCGGUGGCGCGACUUCGGUCGUGUCAUCGUACAACAUGGUGAAUCUGAAUAACGUUUGCUGAUCGCACGGUCUCGCACCGGCGACGCAUCUUUCAAAUGUCUGCCUUAUCAACUGUCGAUGGUAGGUUCUGCGCCUACCAUGGUUGUAACGGGUAACGGGGAAUCAGGGUUCGAUUCCGGAGAGGGAGCCUGAGAAACGGCUACCACAUCCAAGGAAGGCAGCAGGCGCGCAAAUUACCCACUCCCGGCACGGGGAGGUAGUGACGAAAAAUAACGAUACGGGACUCAUCCGAGGCCCCGUAAUCGGAAUGAGCACACUUUAAAUCCUUUCACGAGGAUCAAUCGGAGGGCAAGUCAGGUGCCAGCAGCCGCGGUAAUUCCUGCUCCGAUAGCGUAU
rnacentral:rRNA from 4 species